UUCUUUCUUCAGACAUCAAAAUGGGCCUCUGAGAAAAUUCAAAUGGACCCUCCAAUUCCCAUCUACUCAGAGGACAAGAAGACAGUGAAUCUUCUUUUCAGAAAUCCUUCGGAGUUAUCUGACUGAUGCGUCACCCCCACUGAUUACUAGGCAGAUUCAGCUAAUCAGGUGAGUGGGAAGAAUGUGGAAAAGAUGAGAGGAGCUUCGAUUUUCUAGCCAGACAUCAUUUUAGGUUAC
rnacentral:lncRNA from 1 species